UACAUAGGUCCCGAGCGUUGUCCGGAUUCACUGGGCGUAAAGCGCGCGUAGGCGGCAUAGAAAGUUUGAUGUGAAAGCUCAGGGCUUAACCCUGAAAUGGCAUUGAAUACUGCUGUGCUGGAGGUUUGGAGGGGGGACUGGAAUUCUUGGUGUAGCAGUGAAAUGCGUAGAUAUCAAGAGGAACACCAGUGGCGAAGGCGAGUCCCUGGACAACACCUGACACUGAGGCACGAAAGCUAGGGGAGCAAACAGG
rnacentral:rRNA from 1 species